rnacentral:rRNA from 1 species
GUUGUAUGGUUAAGUGACUAAGCGUACACGGUGGAUGCCUGGGCAGUCAGAGGCGAUGAAGGACGUACUAACUUGCGAUAAGCGCAGAUAAGGCAGUAAGAGCCGUUUGAGUCUGCGAUUUCCGAAUGGGGAAACCCAACUGCAUAAGCAGUUACUGUUAACUGAAUACAUAGGUUAACAGAGCAAACCGGGGGAACUGAAACAUCUAAGUACCCCGAGGAGAAGAAAUCAACCGAGAUUCCGGUAGUAGCGGCGAGCGAACCUGGAUUAGCCCUUAAGCACUCGGUGAAGUAGGUGAACAAGCUGGAAAGCUUGGCGAUACAGGGUGAUAGCCCCGUAACCGACGCUUCAUCGAGCGUGAAAUCGAGUAGGGCGGGACACGUGAUAUCCUGUCUGAAUAUGGGGGGACCAUCCUCCAAGGCUAAAUACUCCUGACUGACCGAUAGUGAACCAGUACCGUGAGGGAAAGGCGAAAAGAACCCCUGUGAGGGGAGUGAAAUAGAACCUGAAACCGUGUACGUACAAGCAGUAGGAGCACCUUCGUGGUGUGACUGCGUACCUUUUGUAUAAUGGGUCAGCGACUUAUAUUCAGUGGCAAGGUUAACCGUAUAGGGGAGCCGUAGCGAAAGCGAGUCUUAACUGGGCGCUCAGUCUCUGGAUAUAGACCCGAAACCGGGUGAUCUAGCCAUGGGCAGGUUGAAGGUUGAGUAACAUCAACUGGAGGACCGAACCGACUAAUGUUGAAAAAUUAGCGGAUGACUUGUGGCUAGGGGUGAAAGGCCAAUCAAACUCGGAGAUAGCUGGUUCUCCCCGAAAGCUAUUUAGGUAGCGCCUCGGACGAAUACUACUGGGGGUAGAGCACUGUUAAGGCUAGGGGGUCAUCCCGACUUACCAACCCUUUGCAAACUCCGAAUACCAGUAAGUACUAUCCGGGAGACACACGGCGGGUGCUAACGUCCGUCGUGGAGAGGGAAACAACCCAGACCGCCAGCUAAGGUCCCAAAGUAUUGCUAAGUGGGAAACGAUGUGGGAAGGCUCAGACAGCUAGGAUGUUGGCUUAGAAGCAGCCAUCAUUUAAAGAAAGCGUAAUAGCUCACUAGUCGAGUCGGCCUGCGCGGAAGAUGUAACGGGGCUAAGCAAUACACCGAAGCUGCGGCAAUGUCUUUUAGACAUUGGGUAGGGGAGCGUUCUGUAAGCCGUUGAAGGUGAAUCGUAAGGUUUGCUGGAGGUAUCAGAAGUGCGAAUGCUGACAUGAGUAACGACAAAGGGGGUGAAAAACCUCCUCGCCGGAAGACCAAGGGUUCCUGUCCAACGUUAAUCGGGGCAGGGUGAGUCGACCCCUAAGGUGAGGCCGAAAGGCGUAAUCGAUGGGAAACGGGUUAAUAUUCCCGUACUUCUGACUAUUGCGAUGGGGGGACGGAGAAGGCUAGGUGGGCCAGGCGACGGUUGUCCUGGUUCAAGUGCGUAGGCUUGAGAGUUAGGUAAAUCCGGCUCUCUCUAAGGCUGAGACACGACGUCGAGCUACUACGGUAGUGAAGUCAUUGAUGCCAUGCUUCCAGGAAAAGCCUCUAAGCUUCAGAUAGUCAGGAAUCGUACCCCAAACCGACACAGGUGGUCGGGUAGAGAAUACCAAGGCGCUUGAGAGAACUCGGGUGAAGGAACUAGGCAAAAUGGUACCGUAACUUCGGGAGAAGGUACGCUCUUGAUGGUGAAGUCCCUCGCGGAUGGAGCUGACGAGAGUCGCAGAUACCAGGUGGCUGCAACUGUUUAUUAAAAACACAGCACUGUGCAAAAUCGCAAGAUGACGUAUACGGUGUGACGCCUGCCCGGUGCCGGAAGGUUAAUUGAUGGGGUUAGCGCAAGCGAAGCUCUUGAUCGAAGCCCCGGUAAACGGCGGCCGUAACUAUAACGGUCCUAAGGUAGCGAAAUUCCUUGUCGGGUAAGUUCCGACCUGCACGAAUGGCGUAAUGAUGGCCACGCUGUCUCCACCCGAGACUCAGUGAAAUUGAAAUCGCUGUGAAGAUGCAGUGUACCCGCGGCUAGACGGAAAGACCCCGUGAACCUUUACUACAGCUUGGCACUGAACAUUGAACCUACAUGUGUAGGAUAGGUGGGAGGCUAUGAAGACGUGACGCCAGUUGCGUUGGAGCCGUCCUUGAAAUACCACCCUUGUAUGUUUGAUGUUCUAACUUAGACCCAUUAUCUGGGUUGAGGACAGUGCCUGGUGGGUAGUUUGACUGGGGCGGUCUCCUCCCAAAGAGUAACGGAGGAGCACGAAGGUGGGCUAAUCACGGUUGGACAUCGUGAGGUUAGUGCAAUGGCAUAAGCCCGCUUAACUGCGAGAAUGACGGUUCGAGCAGGUGCGAAAGCAGGUCAUAGUGAUCCGGUGGUUCUGUAUGGAAGGGCCAUCGCUCAACGGAUAAAAGGUACUCCGGGGAUAACAGGCUGAUACCGCCCAAGAGUUCAUAUCGACGGCGGUGUUUGGCACCUCGAUGUCGGCUCAUCACAUCCUGGGGCUGAAGUCGGUCCCAAGGGUAUGGCUGUUCGCCAUUUAAAGUGGUACGCGAGCUGGGUUUAGAACGUCGUGAGACAGUUCGGUCCCUAUCUGCCGUGGGCGUUGGAAGAUUGAAGGGGGCUGCUCCUAGUACGAGAGGACCGGAGUGGACGAACCUCUGGUGUUCGGGUUGUGUCGCCAGACGCAUUGCCCGGUAGCUAAGUUCGGAAUUGAUAAGCGCUGAAAGCAUCUAAGCGCGAAGCGAGCCCUGAGAUGAGUCUUCCCUGA